ACCAUAUCACGUUGAAACACUGGUUCUCAUCUGAUCACCGCAGUUAAGCAACAUUGAACCUGGUCAAUACUUAGAUGGGUGACUGCUCAGGAAUACCAGGUGCUGUAA